GAUCCCGGAGGUCAACAUCCGACAGCGCGAUGCGCCCUCGGGUGGGUGUUUU
rnacentral:tmRNA from 1 species